rnacentral:lncRNA from 1 species
GCAGGUCCUGCCGCCUGGUUCCGAGGUCCGACACAGAGGGCCGUUGGGAGGCAGUUGGGCGUGGCAACGGACGCUAUCUGAAGGCCACGCCCACUCGGGACUGGAGGGAUGGGCUUCCUAACGGAAGCGCACCCUUCAAGUCCUGGAACACCGACUCUAUCUUCUGACUGCUUUGGGGUUGCGGAAUGGAAAGACCCUCCCCCGGAUGAGGGCCUCCUGCGUUUAGAAACCAGAGGAUUGGAGCGGCCAUAGGUAAUCUGAGGAAGGCAGCGGUUCCCUGCGUUUAGACUCGUGCCUCGAGGAGCUCGGAGGAGCUCCGCACAGCCUUCUCCGCUGCAGAGGCCCCAGGCGCGGGUCUGCAGGGCAGUGCGUGUCCCCAUGUGACCCGCGUGCUGCGGGGACCUAAGGUCACGUCUGGGAGCUGCCACCUCUGCAGAGGACGCAAGUCUGCAAGGCCUGCGCGACGCUGACACCUCGGGUCUGCAUCCGUGCGGGGCUGGAACUCAAGAGGAAGCACCGCUUUUGUCGCCUUCCUAGAGGCGGGGGGGGGGCGGGGGGGGCUGGAGGUGGCCAGCCUGUGUCUGAACAGCAGGAUGCGGAACCGUCGCCCAGCAUCUUCCCCUUGGCGUUCCGAGGGGACGGAGCGACCCCGCCUUUGCAUCUCAGGUGAUGGAAAACAGGAACGCCUCACGGGGGAGGAAGGGAAGCACCAAGGUCACCUGGAGUUUUAAGUCAAACCAAGAAACGAAGGAAGUCAAGUAUAAAGGCUGCGGUCCUCCGUCCUUCGGUGACCCCUACAACUGGACAGAUGGAGGGCGGGCUCCGAGUUUAGUGCACUAUACGAAAGUGGCCUCGGGAGAAAUAACUUCGUGUAGUGUUGUAACCUUAAAAAUCCAGACAUGAAACGGAAGGGAAACAGGCUCUCACUACAAAGCCCUGGCUGGCCUGGAUCUCACUAUGCAAUUCUGACUAGUUUGAAACUCACUGUGGAGACCAGGCUAGCCUCAAACUCACAGAUAUCCGCCUGAGUUCUGCUGCCCAAGAGCUGGAAUUAAGUGCAUCAUCCUACCCUGCAGACCUGCUAUCUUGUUUAUUCAGUGGUAUAGUAUGCCUUUUUUUUUUUUUUCAAAACAAGCUAUAAAUUAAGCAGGCAAUUAGUUUUGCAUGGAUCAAGUCAUGAAAACAUCUUGGACAGCAUUCAAUGUACCUGCUGACCUUGCUAUUUUAGAUUCCUCCCCAGGUUUUGAGACCACAUGUAGCCUAGGCUGGCCUUGAACCUUUUUCUUUUCUUUAUUUUUUAUUUUAUUUGCCUGGUAUGGUGGUACUCAAGGGGAGGCAGGAGGAUCUCCGUGAAUCCAGUCUAGUUUACAUAGUGAGUUCCAGGAUAGACAGCCAUAUGUAGAGAGACCCUGUCUCUAAAUUUGAUAUUAAUGUUUUGCCUGUAGUAUAUAUGCACCUAUAUGUGCCUGGUGUCUACAGAGGCCAGAAGUAGUUGUCAGAUCCCUAGAACUAGAAUUACAUGGAGUUGUGAGUACAUACUGCGAAUUGAAUCCUGGUCCUUCUUUGAGAACAGUGCUCUUAACUGCUGCAUUGUCUCACAGGCCUGGCCUUGAGCUCUUCAUGUUGCCUCCACCUCCUCAAGCGCUAGAAUUAUAGGGCAUGUACCACCCACCAUCAUACCUGGUGCUUCUGAUUGCAUUUUCUAUGCCUAGCCUUUAAUCUCAGCACUCAAAGAGGUAGAAACAGGAGGAUCUCUUGAGUUCAAGGUCAUCAUAUAGGUAUGGGGAAUUGAACUCUGGACGAGCAGCAAGCAUUCAUAAUGGCUGAGCCAUCUCUCCAACCCAUUUUCUUGUUUUGUUUUUUCAAGAAAGGGUUUCUUGGGCUGGUGAGAUGGCUCAGUGGGUAAGAGCACCUGACUGCUCUUCCAAAGGUCCAGAGUUCAAAUCCCAGCAACCACAUGGUGGUUCACAAUCAUUCGUAAUGAGAUCUGACUCCCUCUUCUGGAGUGUCUGAAGACAGCUACAGUGUACUUACAUAUAAUAAAUAAAUUAAUUUAAAAAAAAAAAGGGUUUCUUUGUGUAGUUCUGGCUGGCUGACCUGAAACUCAUUUUAUAGACCAGGCCGACCUCAAACUCAUAGAGAUCCACCUUCCUCUGCCUUCAGAGUGCAUGACUACAAUAUUGUGGAGUCCUAUGCACACAACUUUAUUCUACUUGUUCAUUUACCUAAGUUUGAUUGUUUGUGUGUGUGUGUGUGUGUAUAUAUAUAUAUAUAUAUAUAACUGUUUGUGUUGUACAGAGGACCACUGCCAAGAGUUAGUUCUCUUCUACCAUCCUGGGGAUCAUCUUAGGCUUGGCUGGGUUAGUGGCUAUACCUGCUAAGCAAUCUGGCCACUCUGGUUUUUCCUUUUUUGAGACGGGGUCUCCCUCUGUAUCCCAGGCUAGGCUUGAACUUCUAAUCUUCCUGCGUGAGACCCAAGUGUAGUCCUGUUUAAAAGUGACACCAGGGGCUGGAAAGAUGUCUCAGUAGUUAAGAGCACUGACUGCUCUUCCAGAGGUCCUGAGUUCAAUUCCCAGCAACCACAUGUUGGCUCACAACUAUCUGAUGCCCUCUUCUGGUGUGUCUGAAGACAGCAACAGUGUACUCACAUACACAAAAUAAAUAAAUCUUUAAAAAAAAAAAGUGACACUAGCUGGAUCUGGUAACUCACUCCUAUGAUUCCAACAGUCAGAAAAUGGAGGCAAGAGCCGGGCGUGGUGGCUCAUGCCUUUAAUCCCAGCACUUGGGAGGCAGAGGCAGGUGGAUUUCUGAGUUCGAGGCUAGCCUGGUCUACAAAGUGAUUUUCAGGACAGCCAGGGCUAUACAGAGAAACCCUGUCUCGAAAAACCAAAAACAAACAAAAAAACCCCAACAAAAACCACGUAAAUACUGUAAGAAGAUGCUUUCGUUUUAAUCAGAGGUGUGGGAUUGCUUCAGAUUAUGCGUCAGGUGUUGUGUUUCAGAUUGUCCACAGCAGCUAAGUCUGAUUUGCCUCACUCUCUAGAAGAAGCAUGAUUUGCCAGCUACAGAUGGUUUCUGCGUUUGUGUGGUAUUUUGAAUUCUGGGGGCUUUUCAGAGGGUGUAUAAAUGCUAGGACCCCAAGAAGGGUAGGUUGUUGGUUGGUAGGUUGGUGCUUUUUGGUUGCUGUUGGUUGUGGUUUGUUAAGUAGUUGUAUGUAAAGAAGAAGAAAUUAGAUAUCCUGACCGUGAAGAUCAAACUUGCCCCUAAUCAGCAGGAAGUGGUGACAUAGUCUUCCACAAAGACAGCCUCCUUAGCCUACCCAAACAGCAUCAGGAUCAGGGACCAAUGCUCAAACAUCUUUUAGGAAGCCAUUGUCAUUCAAAUCACCACAUUCCAUUUGACUACAUAGACUCAUAGCCUUACCAAACUGCAAAAUAUUUCAGAUCAAAAGUUCCCCUAGUCUUUCACAGUCUCAACACUGCUUAAAAGCCCAUAGAUGCUUCUAAGACUCAAAACAAUUUCUUAAUUGUAAUCUCCUGCAAAAUCAAAAGGCAAAUUAUACAAUUGUUACAUACAAUGGCACAGAAUACAUAUUACCUUUCCAAAAGGAGGAUUGGGUGCUUGGUGAAAAAUUACUAAAAGACCAAAAGCUACCAGGGCGAACUCUAAAGCCUGUAUGUAGCUCUGUGUCUGAUGUCAGAGGGCUGAGAUGGCUCUGUGUCCAGCCUUGCUGCCUGCAACACAUCUCUCUGUCAGGAUGGUUCCACUUCCUGUGUGCACACUCCUUGCCAGACAACUCAUGAAUCUGGCAUCUCCAAUAUCUUGGGGUUUUCAGUGCAACCCCAGACUUCACUUUCACAGCUUCACACAGUGGCUUCUUAAGGACUUCCAACUGGGAUUCCCCUGCCAUAGGCUACCUUUGCCUUGCAGAAAGAAAGCUUAGCUGGGUGGAGUCCUGCUCUGAGGGCAUCAUUCUCUUUGUUCCCUUAGGCAGAGCAAGCCUGUCUUUACUGAUGCUGAUCUCAAGUGUAAUACUAAGCCUCCAGGGUAUUUUCCCACAAUUCAGUAUAUACCUGUCAUGUUUCGUUCUGCCCCAUUGCCCCUUUUCAUAAGCAUUUGCAUAAGCAUUGGCAACCAUAACCACAGACUCAACAUAUGUUUGGAAUUCCUUCCACCAAAGAAAUAAGACCACUGCUUUUAAAUUUAAUCUCAGGCAAGUUCUCCAGACAAGGCAGAAGGCUACCACAUCCUCUGCCAAAACAGUUCAGGGACGGCUCCUGCCCAGUUACUAAUGCUGUUCCCUCUGAAACCUCUUGAGCUGGGCCUUUACAGUCCACAUUGCUCGCUCUCAGGAUGACUGUCUUCCAGGCUCCUACUGCGACUAAGAUGAUCUGUAUACUUUCUUACAGGGGUCAACUGCUAUCUUUAGUCCAAAAUUCCUAAGUCUUCCAUGUCCUUCCAAAAAACAUGGUUAAGUCUGUUAGAGCUACAGCCCACUCUAUAAUACCAACUUCUUUUUUGUGGUUGUUUUGUUUUUUCAAGACAGGGUUUCUCUUUGUAGCCAUGACUGUCCUGGAAUUUGUUCUAUAGACCAGGCUGGCCUCAAACUCAGAGAUCUCAGAGAGCUGCCUGCCUCUGCCUCCCUCUCAAGUACUGGGAUUAAAAGCAUGCACUGCCACCACCAACCUCCUAGUUACUUUUCUGUUGCUAUGAUAAAACAACAUGACUAAGCCAUGUGGUGUGUGGCACAUGAUGUUAAUCACAACACUCAGUAGGCAAGCAGACUAAUGAGUUCAAGGCCAGCCUGGUCUACAGAGCAAGUUGCAAGACAGCUGGAACUGGGUUCUCUAGGGUCACAGGGCUUAUGGAAUGAAUACAUAUAUAAAGGGAAUUUAUUGGAAUGACUUAGAGUCUGCAUUCUAGCUAGUCCAACAGUAGCUAGCUGUGGAUGGAAAGUCUAAGAAUCAAGUUGUUAUACAGUCCCACACGGCCGGAUAUUUCAUCUGGUCUUCUGUAUCUGCUGGAAUCAUGGAGAAGUAGGCUUCAAUGUUAGUAAAGGAAUUGAUGCGCUAAUAAGGCAAGAGCAAGCAGGCAAAGAGCAAAAGCUUCCUUCUGUGUCCCUAUAUGAGCUUCCAGCAGAAGGUAUAGCCCAUGUUAAAGGUGUGUCUUCUCCCUUCAAAGGUCCAGACUAGAAGUGGAUUCAUCUACUUUAAACCAAGCAGAAUAUCUUUCAUAGGUGUGCCUUCCAUUUCUGAUGUCAUGUUGACAACCAAGAAUAGCCAUCACAACUAAGACUACAUGGAGAAACCCUGUCUCAAUAGACUAGACCAAACAACAACAACAACAAAAAAACCCAAAACAAAACAAAAACAACAAAAAAAAAAAAACAAAAAAAUUCCACCAAGACUAAAAGUGACUUCUGGAAGGAAGAGUUUUUGUCUCAGAUGCUACUUCCUCCAAUGAGGCCACACCCUCUAAACAUUCCCAAACAUCUCCACCAACUAGGGACCAAGUGUUACAUGCCUGAGUCUAUGGGGGCAUUUCUCAUUCAAGGCAGCACAGAGGCCCCAACUAUAGUUGAUCCUGUUCUCCAGUCUCACAAAGUCUGGAACUCAAGGUGUGUACAUGCCUGGCCAUUUACUCUGUGGGGCAUUUUUUGAAGGAUGGUCUCACCGCCUAGGCUGGCCUACAAUGAGAAAUAAACGUCAUUAAGGAGAAACCUGCUCCACCCUGGGAAAAAGGGAAGGGUUCCCUCAGAGCUUAGGGGUUUUCUGGGGCUAGAGAGAUGUUAAGAGAUCAGUUAAGAGAACUGACUGAUCUUCCGAAGGUCCUGAGUUCAAAUCCCAGCAACCACAUUAUGGCUUACAACCAUCCGUAAUGAGAUCUGACGCCCUCUUCUGGUGUGUUUUAAGACAGCUACAGUGUACUUACAUAGAAUAGUAAAUAAAAAUGGAUUGGCUGGAACGAGCUGGGCAGGAGCGAGGAGAGGUCUUGAGUUCAAUUCCCAGCAACCACAUGAAGGCUCACAACCAUCUAUACAGCUACAGUGUACUCAUAUACAUAGAAUAAUAAAUUUUAAAAAGGGUUUUCUGACACAAGGGCAUCUUGGCAGUUGGGAGCCAAUGAAUACCACAAAGUGACACCACACAUCAAACUUCACAUGAGAUUUAUUGGAGAGAGACACAGAAUGGCGGCUGUCUCAGUGAGAACAGCUACAGCAGAGGGCUGCGUGAAGGAAAGGCUCUUAUAGGUUUUAGGACCAUGCACAGUGAGCAUGGAAAGGUGGAAAAGUCCAGAGCUGUCCUGAGCAUCGUUCUGCUGUUAAUGCUGAAUCCUACGGAAGGGGAUUGCCUGGUCUCAAGAGCCAGGCUCAAGCCAGUGGCUGGCUGUCCCUCCUUUGGCCCUUUUCCCUGCUUUCUUCCCUUUUAUGUUUAGUAUUGAUAACUAAUCAGGAGUCAGGAAAGAAAACAACAUUAUCAUUAAACUACUUCCUGCUGUGUGAGGGUGUUGAAGUCCAUGGGGCAAGCAUGAUCUUCACCAUCAGGGCAUGUUCAGGGGUUGUAGGUCUCUGGUCCCUGUAGUUUGGUGGAGAAGCAGGGUUAGGGAGAGUAGUGUCCAACUCCAUACAGGACCAUCAGUGAUCCAUCAGCCAGAGAGGCACUGAACUGUUGUUUACAUUUUUGAACAUCUGUCAGGAGUUGUCAGUUCUUUACUAUAGCUAACUGGCUGACAUAGAAACAUCAUUCCUCCCUGUGGAGGAGGCAGAGGUCACUCUUCUCCACUGUUGGUAGAUCUAAGCUCAUCAAUUUCUCUCUAAUGGUUUUUAAGUUGUUUGCAUGGAAACGAGAAUUUUUCUUAAAGCCAGACAACAGCUUGUGUGUGUAGCCUCCCCCAGCCUUGAGCAGGCUGACUCAGACCUGUUCUUUAAGGAGACUUUAAGGAGACCACCUAGGGUGGAGUCUUCCGACCUAGAUGGGUCUAUUGUUCUAUCACCUGCGCUGUUCUCCAAGACGCUACCUGCUGAGAGUCUGAACCUGCCUUCCUGAGAAAUUCCUGAGGUAACUGACAACCUGGCUACUGACAACUUACUGCCAACAAGUGCUGUCAGACUAAUUGCUCUUGAUGCCUUAUUGCCAGCAUGGCAGGGGCUGGGCUUUCCCCCUUUAUAAGCACAGACUCUUAGUAAACAUUGGGCCUUGAUCAGAAAAAUUUGUCUUGGUCUCUUCUUUCCCGUUAUUUGGUUUUAACAGGCACCUUUUCUGUGGUGAUUUGAAUAUGCUAUGGCCCAUAUUUGAAUAUGUGGCAAUAUUAGGAGGUGUGGCCUUGUUGAAGAAAGUGUGUCACUGUGGGUAUGGGCAUAGGAAUCUUGUCCUAUCUGUCUAGAAGCAAGUCUUCUCCUAGCAUCCUUCAGAUGAAGAUAUAGUACUUUUAGUUCCUCCUGCACCAUGCCUGCAUGAAUGCUACCAUGCUCCCACCGUGAUGAUAAUGGACUGAACCUCUGAACCCAUAAGCCAGCCCCAGUUAAAAGGAGUUUCCUUGGGGGCUGGAGAGAUAGCGAUUAAAAGCACUUACUGCUCUUCCAGAGGUCCUGAGUUCAAUUCUAAGAAACCACAUGGUGGCUCUUAACAUCUGUAAUGGAAUCCGAUGCCCUCUUUUGGUGUGUCUGAAGACAACUAGUAUACCCAUAUAGGUAAAAUAAAUGCUUAAAUGGGCAGGUAGUAAGAAACUUAGAGUAGCCGGGCGUGGUGGCGCACGCCUUUAAUCCCAGCACUCGGGAGGCAGAGGCAGGCGGAUUUCUGAGUUCGAGGCCAGCCUGGUCUACAAAGUGAGUUCCAGGACAGCUAGGGCUACACAGAGAAACCCUGUCUCGACCCAAAAAAAAAAAGUUUCCUUAGUCUUAGUAUGUGUUCAUGGCAGUAAAACCCUAAGACAGAAGUUGGUAUUAGAAGUGGGAUAUUGGGGCUGGUGAGAUGGCUCAGUGGUUAAGAGUACCAACUGCUCUUCUGAAGGUCCUGAGUUCAAAUUCUAGCGACCACAUGGUGGCUCACAACCACCCAUAAUAAGAUCUGAUGCCCUCUUCUGGUGUGUCUGAAGUCAGCUACAGUGUACUUACAUAUGAUAAAUUAAUUAAUUUUUAAAAAAAGUGGGAUAUUGUUGUGAUAGGCAUGACUAUGUUUUUAUUUGGAGGAAUGUGGAUUUGGGGACUUAGAUUUGGAAAACAGUGGAAUGCUUUUUAUUAUUUAUUUACUUAUUUAUUUUGCAGUGGAAUGCUUUAAGUGAGGCUUAAUGGGCCAUCCUAGUAGGAAUAUGGAAGACUUUGUUGCUGAGAGUGACUUGAACUGUGCUGACCUGGCCCAAUAGGUUUCAGUGAAGAAGAAUUUCAGUAUGUGGUUUAGAAACUGUUUUUGUGGCGUUUUGGUGAAGAAUGUGGCUGCUUUUUUGCCUUUGUCUGAGGAGUCUAUCUGAGGCUAAGGUAAAGAGAUUUUUAUUAAAUGCAUUGACAAAAGAAAAUUUCAAUUUUUUUUUUCAAGACAGGGUUUCUCUGUGUAGCCCUGGCUGUCCUGGAACUCACUUUGUAGACCAGGCUGUUCUGGAACUCACUCUGUAGAUCAGGCUGGCCUCGAACUCAGAGAUUCACCUGCCUCUGCUUCCCAAGUGCUGAGAUUGAAGGUAUGUGCCUCCACACCUGCUGUUUUCAGGCUUUCUCAUCUCUCCCAUGGUACACUUUGAAGGCUAGCACUAAGACUUCUGCCUGUGGAGUCGGGGGUGGGGUGGUUCUCUGGGUUUUUAAGUUUGUCACUAAUAUCAGGGAAAAUCUGGGAGAAGUUGGUCAUAAGGAGUUGUUUCCUAUAUGGGGGUCUCAGGAUUUGCAUUGUUAAAAGAGAGCUUUCUAACACAGUCUAGGAAUUGAGAUGGGUUUUCAUGUUUGUCCUGGAUGGCCACUUUCCUUAUAAAGACUGGUAAGGAGGCAAGUAAUAAAUUGAUCUCUAGCUAAAAUGCCCUCUGGAGUAUUGUAGUCCCUCCCAGGACCCCAAUCAGGGACCAUCUCAGUCCCAGCCAGGUGGACAGCCUACUUUGGUGGACCUCAUCUUGCACGUACUUCAGCCCAGUCUGACUCACCUGUGCUCCUUGGGAGAAGGAUGGUGGUGAGAAUCCUGUAAACAUCAUGGAAAGUAAGUUUGUAUGAUUUGAGCCGGGUGUGGUGGUGCACACCUUUAAUCCCAGUACUUGGGAGGCAGAGGCAGGCAAAUUUCUGAUUUUGAGACCAGCCUGGUCUACAGAGUGAGUUCCAGGACAGCCAGGGCUAGACAGAGAAACCCUGUCUUGGAAAAAAACAAACCAAACAAACAAACAAACAAAGUUUGUAUGAUUUGACAAUAUAUCAGAAUUCUUUAAUAGAAGUGGAGAGAGAGAGAGAUUAGUGAUAUAGGACUCCAAUCUUUUUUUUCCUUUCAUCUUCAUAGCCCUGGCUGCCUGGAACAAGCUCUGUAGACAAGGCUGGCCUUAAACUCAGAGAUUUAUCUACCUCUGCCUCCAGAAUGCUGGGAUUAUGGGUUUGGUGACUGUGCCACCGCUGCCUGGCUCCCAGUCUUUUUUCUAUCAGAGAGAGUUCACUCAGUGAGAAGCCAUCCACCCUGUCACUACUUGCAGAGGUGGGCUGGGUAAGGGGAGUUAGAGAGGGGGCUCCAUCACAGUGUGGGAAUGACUAGCAGGUCAAGGGCCACCAGUGGGCAUAAAGUGAGUGCCAGCAAGAUUUGACAAGCAUGGCCUGUGGCUGGAGAGGGAGAAGGGAGACAGAAAAGACCAGAAAAGGAGCUGUGGGUUGAGGCCAAGUGAAAGCAGUAGAGAACUCACCUGGUUUGGGCUUCAUGGGUAGGAGGAGCUGGGUAAUGGGUCAGGAAGAACAGAGAGAGGGCUUGGAGCAGAGAUAAGAGAAGGCUUUUGUUGGGAGCGACCCUGUUUAAAUGUUAACUGCCUUGUCAGCCAUAAGUGCUUAGUUACAAAGUUUUGGCCUUGGUGGAAAAGUACUAGAUUAGUUAAGAUUUUUGUGGGAAAAGUUGAGGCCUCUGUAGGAAAGUACUACCUCCAGUUAAGAACAAAUAGCUAUAGAUCUUGUGGACAGGUACCUAGCAACCCAUUCUGUUCUGUUUCUCCUGCUGUGUUUUACCUAGCCAAUCUCCUGCUUUUGGGAACAGGUGCAUUCUCCCAGAAGCAAAGCGACUCUGUGUCAUCCCUCUCCCCAUAUCCUGCUUCAUGGGCGUAAAACCUACCUGGGAAAAAUAAAGUUUGACAGCUUGAUCAAUCAGACUUGCUGUCAGUUCUUUGUGUUCCUCGCUCCCCGUUCUCUCCACAGGUGGUUCCUCAGACCCUGUUUGACUGACCCGUGGGCCCGGACAGACAUGGACAUAGGGAAUCUCUUUCCAUUUCCCCAAUCAUGCAUAGUAAUUGUAAAGGUUCCAAAUAACAUUGGAGUCUAGGUUGCCAUUUGUGAUGGUUUGUACAUGUUUGGCCCAGGAAUGGCACUAUUAGAGGAGGUGUGGGCUUGUUGGAGUAGAUGUGGCAUUGUGGGCAUGGGCUUUAAGACUCUACUUUUAACUGUCUGGAAUUGAGUCUUCCACUAGCAGCCUUCAGAAGAUGUUGAACUCUCAGCUCUACCUGCACCAUGCCUGCCUGGAUGCUGCCAUGCCUUGAUGAUAAUGGAUUGAACCUCUGAACCUGUCAGCCAGCUCCAAUUAAAUGUUG